CUUUGAAUGAAUAUACAGCACUUUCUAUUUCUGUGGUAUUGCAAAUAUCCAUGUGGCUAUUUUUAGAGAUGGAAAAAUGAAAUUCCUAAGAAGAAGAGUGUUUUUAUCCUUUAAGGGAAGAUUAAGACCUCUUCUUUUGAUUUCUUCUGGGAUGGAAAACGUUCUGUUACAAACAAGAAACUGUUCAACAAUGAUCAUCACAACAGUCAGUGAAUAUUUUGCUCAGGAGCUGAAAACGAUUCAGUAAAGCUGAAAAACGUUACCAUGAUUGAGUGUUUGCUGUCCUCUCGUGGACGUUGCUUUACUCCUCUCUCUCUCAGGCUGAGCGGCUUCUUGCUUUACUCCUCUCCCUCUCAAGCUGAGCGGCUUCACCCCUCCCCUCCUCCCCUCCUCCCCUACCCUCUCCUCCUCUCCUUUUUUUCCGUAGAGAUACAGUGUAACAUUUAUCUAUGAUCAAUAUACAUUUUUUUUGUCCUUCAUCUUAAUGCUUCCCUCCCUUUUCCAGUGUCCCUGGCUUCUCUCACUCCACAGCUUUUGUGCCAGCUUGUUGGGUUUGCCACACAAUGUUUAAGGCCUAAAACAAACUUUCUGCCACACCAGGUGGAAUACAGUGAGCAUUCAAGUUAAAGGAUUAAUAGACAUAUCAGAAUUAGCUUUCAACACAAAUAUUAAUUGUUAUUUGUGGUCCUGUUGUGUUGGCAGCCUGGCACAUGUUGGUUGUCUGGCUGUGUCAAGCCAGGGAUCUAUUCCUGAGUUGCUGCACCCUGACCCUCAGCUACUGCCAGUAAAUUCCUAGGGGAUACAAAUGAAGCUAGGGCAAACGGGGGUCCCAUUUGUUGAGAAUUCAAAGAAAAGUAAAAUGUAAGAAGUUUUAAUAGAACAAAAAAGAUUUAUGAAGAAAACAUGAUUUGGUAGCUUGUGAGCAGGGGAGUACUGUUUCCUGUCAUUUGUUCUCAAGGUGUGCAUGCAUUUUCUUAUCUGGUCUUCCAUAUUUCUCUCUGAUCCUGGCAAUUGUAGCACAAUAAAUAUCACAGUGAAAAGAUGUUGAGUUUUUGGAAGUUUUGGUUCUAUGCAAAGUCUUAAUUAUUGCUGUCCCAGUUUUUCUUUCAUGUUGGUGAAGAGAAAAUACAUCUGAAACACAGCUGCUUUUAAUGAGGCUCCCUGUCUCAGGAGUGCACAAAGUCUCCCCUCACUGGGCUGGUUCUCAUGAGAGUAAGACAAUUUCUAUGUCGGGAAGAGAAGCAUAAAUCAUCUUCCAAAAGUCAAGAGCAAAGUGACCAAAGGCAUUCAGCUAUAGAAUGGGCACAGAGUCCUCUAGUGAACAGUGGAGAAAACAGAGAAAACGAAAGUGGCAAUGGCAAUUUAUGCUUUUACUGGGGCAGUUACAUACAACUGAGCAUGAAUAUUCAGCAUGCAAGUAUAAAAUAAUAUGCUGCUUUGGCUAGCUAGUGACAGCAUACUCAUGAAUGAGAUUAGGAAUUAUUUUUAUGACUAAUGCAGGCCCCAACAUUUGUUUGUUUUUAUUAUGUUUGGUGUUUGAGAAGAGUGAGAAAACUCUAUUUUUCUGCACUUCUUUCUUUCCACUGAUCCUGACGGCCGAAUCCUGAGUCAUUGUAAAGCAAACCCUGCAGUGCUUGGGAAGAUCUAGAAUUGAGGUUUCACUAACAUCCCAGCAGAACACCAGCAAAGUAAAGAACACACCUCUCAUCGACAGAGCCCCCCAUAGACAGACCUGGCACCUCUCAGUUCUCAGUUCUCGAUUGGGUGCAUUGUGAUCUGGACAGUGAAAAAGAAACUUGCGGCACAUAAUUUGUGAGGAAGUGCUGUUGUGUGAUCCUGUUAAUUCAGAGGUGUCUGGGUGACAAGUGGUUCUGCACCUGAACUCAAGCUGAGCACAAAACUGGUUUUGAUCUCACUCCUGCUUUCGGGGUUCUCUACAGGGUCUACUACCCCUACUUUCCUGUCCAUGCAUAACAUCUUCACAACUCAGCUCCUUCCUUCUGAGAGCCUGGAAAAUUAAUCUUGGAUUGUAUGCAUCUAUCUUUCUCCAUUUGCUCAGGGUGGGAUACCACAGAGACUUCUUUUUUCCCUGUCUUUAUUCACCUCAGGUUGCUAGCAACCUCAGAAGAUGUGUGAAAACAGCAUAUACAUAUUUUACACAUUUUUGUGUAAUCUAUCAUCAUUUUAGCAUUUAUCAAAACUCAACUCCAAUUUUCCCAAAUCAACGUGAAAGAUUUUUUGUGUCAGUAUUUUUUUGUUGCAGCAAUCUUUACAUAAAAAUCUAGCUCCAAUGUUUUUCAGAUGCGAACAUCCAAGGGAGAUCUUUUUACUGCUUUUCAGAGACAAACUGAGGCUGUGCAGAAUAAACUCGUACUCAUGCACAACAAUUACAGCAAAAAACAGAUACACAAAAGCACAGGAGUAACAGAACCCACUAACACAGAACAAAAUAGUACAUGAAUUAAAGCACAAUGGUACAGGAAUUAAAGCACAGACAUUACCUGCUUAUAUGAGCAGAUCACCCAACUUUACAGUGACUGAUGACAAUUGAAAAUUCUGUAACCUCAUGUCAGUAGUAAUUGAUUUAUUACUACAAUAAAAUCAUUCUGUUGAGUAAUUCUACUUCAACAGAGUUUUCACCGGGCUACUGAGUCUGUGCUACUGAUCUGAGUCCUCCAUUACUCUCAAUAUUCCUUUGCUGUUAUUUUCUUUCUUCAUUUUCUACUUCCAGUAUUGGAACAUCACAGACUUUUGAUAGUAAGUAAAUAUUUGAAAUAAAGAGUUGACCCCAUGGAAAAGACAAUAAAUGAAAGGAGAUCUUCAUUUUAAUUCAGACUUUUGAACCCUAUUUUUGACCUUCUUCCUAACUUUUGAGCAGUAUUUAAGUAUUUAGUAUUUAAAACCAGAAGGGCAAUACUCGUGUUUUCAGUCUCAGCCUGGCUGCUCACUAAGCAGGGGCCUUUCUUUGCUGACUGAUAAACCAACUCCUCUUUGGCUACCAGCGACUCAGCUCACAGUAUGAAAUAGUUGCACAGAAUCAACCUGAUUCCAAUCCAGUUCCCAGGUCACAAUUAUUCACAAAAGGCAAAACGUGCUUUUUGCUUGAGAUCCUAAAGCUCCUAAAGUGUGGCAUCACACUUUUGUUUCAGGCAGAGAUAUUCACAUUGCUUGGAGUCUGUAGCACAAAGAAGUGUCCAUGUUGUGGGGGCAUUGUAGAAAUCUAAGAAACUGUGCUAUCUUCCAUUCAUCUCAGAACAGACAUUGUUAAUCUGAGCACUUUUCAAAUAUGGAAAAGGCUAUGGGUCAAAAUAAAGCCUAUAUAAAAUCUGCAAAAAACAUAAUAGAUAUUCCACAGCAACUGAGAUAUCCUGACCUAGAAUCGAGUCUUGUUGGAAUCCUAUUCCAACAAUCCUAUGCCAGCAUCCAGGGGUGUUGUAAUUCUAUUCCAGCACCCCUGGAUGUGAUAGUGAUCAUCUGGGGAACUUUCUGUUGUUGGUUCUCAGAAAAGGAUGCAACUAAAAGACAGAGACAAGGACAUCAUAGGCAAAGAAACAUUCUGUGAAGCAAAGUGACCCAAGGACUAGAAACUAAGCAGGUCAUCAGCAUUCUAAGAAGAGAAAACAACAAAAAUAAGUAAUUCCCUCUGUUGUUUUGAUAUAUAUAUAUAUUUUAAUAUUAUUUACUUAUUUAGCCAGUGGGUAAGCCCUUUUCAGUCUGCCCUGAAUAGUUUGCUCCUCAAGGUCAGGCUGGACUAGGAUCUGAGCACCUUGAUCGAGCUGUAGUUGUCCCUGUUCAUCACAGGAGAUUUGAACAAGAUGACCUUAAGAAAUCCUUUCCAACUUUAACAAUUCUAUGAUCUUAGCACAUAGCUCAUCUUGACACAUAGAGUUGAGCUCAUCUCUUCCUGAUUUCCCCAGUGUUACAAAGCAACUUAACACGAUAAAGAAAAGAAAUGAAUGCCCAGAUGUCCAAUAAAGGUGUCAUACAACACAGUGAGAUGUGUCCCAUCUCCACUGUAACCAUAAACAAGAGAAUCAAACCUUUGCUUGACAAUUUACAGUUGGAUAGUUGAAAUGACAGGAGUAUCCCCUAAUUUAUUUAUUAGGAUAUCUGCUUGCUUUGUGUCCAGAAUAGGAAACUGCUAGGUAGCCAGUGUGGGCUGCUGAAGUUGACAUGGGACCCUAAGAUUCACAUAGCAAUCUAAUCCUGUGGCAAUGACUUAAUGGUUUAAGACAAUCUAUUUUUGAAGAAGAGGGAGUUGUGCAACACCUGUUCCCAUAGGUAAGAUAGGCUGACAGCCCCACAGCAGCAGUGCACAGGCUAAGGGAAGAAGAGUGAAAAAAAAUUGUUUCACGAUACUGGCUGAAACUGCAGUGGUGUGAUUGCCAUAAACACAUUACACUGGUGCAUGCAUGCUCAUUUUUCUCAGGUAGCUCUUGCUUUUUUGCCACUGCACUCCCUGUUUCCCAUUGGGUAAAGAAACAAACCAACAAAUAAACAAAAAAACAACCCCCCACAUUACAAUUUUCAGGCAGUACUUACACUGUCCUGUCCAGCUCAGCUUUACACAACAUAACAGAAUAAGUAUUUUCUUCUUUGAAUUAAGUCAUAUGAUUUUACGAUUUAUAUUGCCACAGAAUAUAGUAGAAUAAAUAAUAUACUGAUGCAGAAUAUGAAGCAAAAGUUCUCAGCUCUAUCCCCUGCAUGACCCCUUCCACAGUUUAGAACCCACUCAAGCUAAUCAGUAGAAAGACAGCUAGACAACUAGACAAAGAGUGAAGAAUUAACUUUCUAAGGUGUGCUUGCAUGAAUAGACAGAGACAGCUGAUCUUUAGUUAAGAAAUUACAUGUUAUAAAGUCUUUAAAUGGAACAUUGUAUUUUCUAGAGAAGAGAACCAUCAAGAAGCAGAGUGCAGGGCAUGACCACCUGAAGACAAACUUCUGAAACCAAACUGAGAAAUGGAGACUAAGAAAGAAGAUUGUACUGAUGAAAUAAUUUGUUUGGGAUUUUAUGAAUGAUGGAUUCUAAGAACUUGAAGAACCUCAUGGAAAUUUUUGUAGACAUUAAGUCCUUUGUAUCACUACGUAAGUGAUCAUGAUGCAUGAGUUGGUUUUCAUCCACUGUGGUGCUGACCCAACUCUGAGUUGUCUUGAAUAAAUCAGCAAAGCAAAUGCAACCUACUCUGCUGUAAUUUCUCCCUUUUACACACAAUUUAACAUAUUACUAUAGAUUUAUCUAAUGUUAUUGUCCUUGUACUCCAUCCCUGGUUCCUAUAUAGCUGAUUCACUCAGUAUUACUACAUAGCCACACAAUUCCUUUAUUGUGGUGUGGAACUCUUAGAUUAUUUGGCAGCUGCCUCCAUCCAAGAACUGUAAAGUCCAUUUAGCUGAAUCCACAGCUGCUGACUCUUUCCCUCUAAAGGUAUCUUGGACUUGUACUACUGAACUCAGGCCAGUGCUCCAUCACCAGUGUUGUUCAGUCACUCCCUAAUCUUCUAAAACUUAUCUAAUGCAAAGAUAUCUGAAUUAGAUAAGUGUUUGAACUGGAUUUUCUUAAAAAUCAAUAAUAAUUAUUUGACACUUUCGCUCUUACUGCUCAAUUUUUUUUUCUGAGGAAACUCCCUAAUCCCUCCUCUGGGCAAAUAGAGAUGAUAAGUGUGAACAGAACCACUGCCAUUUAUCCCAACUCAUCUCCCAGGCCAAAAUAUUUAUUCCAAUUCAAUUAGCAGAGUGUGUAAUGCCGCUUUGCCCAUCCUGCUGCAACUGCUUCUUUUCUGCUUUUUCAGGCUCUGAUCAAAGUAAUAAACUGACCAUUAACGUUCCAUUUGCCACAGCACUCUACUCAGCCAAAAUCCACUUCUUUUUGACCACGUGUAGAGAGAUGGAAAACCACAACUUACCCAGUCUCAUUGGGUCAGUGCAAAUAGUUGGGGUAAAACCCUUAAAAAAUUAGUGGGUGUGACAGCGAGCAACUUCAACUUACGGUAGGUGUGAGUCUGUCAGGUGCAGCUCCACCCCAACCUCUGGAUCUCAGCUCAGGAUUUUGAGCCAGCCCAAAAAGCUCGGGGAAAAAUAAAAUAAAACAAGGAGAGAUGCACGUGUGGGUUUGUAUGUUACAUAGAGGAAGAGGUCAUAGUUCCCAACAAGGACCAAAACUGCGUGCUAGGACACACAGAAGAAGUGUAACAGCAACAGUUGAGGAUAAUAUCUCAGAAGCACGGACUCUGUUUUGAAUUCAUCCCCUUUUAGUACAAGGAUUUCAGGCACUUAGACUUUUUAAAACAAAACAAAACACACAAACGAGUAUCUGCAAAAUCAGGUCUAACAAUUUCUCCUCCAAACUGCAGGCCCCCCACUGAUGGUCAAUCACUUCGGAUACGUGGACUAACGAGCUAAGAUCAACCCUUUUUAUUGAGAGCUGAGCAGAUGUGCAAAACUGCUUCCUCACCGCUGAGGAAACAGUGGUUCCGGCGCUACGCAUAGAAGCAAAGCAGCCGUCCUGUUCCUUUCCUUCUCCCCGCUCAAGCUCACAGGCACAGCUGAGAGCAGGGAAUAUUCUAAUGGCGGAGGACACGGUCGAGUCGCCCAUAUAGGGCUGGGUGCAGGCAGGGGUGCUCCGAGCCCCACGAGGUCCUCCUGAACCCGGAGCCGCCGCUGGUGACCGUACAAGAACCGAGCCCUGCGGCUCUAAGGGCAAAAGCUUAAGCACCGAAGCGAUGCGGAGAGUUCGAGGAGCAACUCCCGCGCUCGGAAUCUCACCCUACGAAUUUCCAAGGGAGAGACGAGACUCUUGGAGUCAUAAUUGCACAGGGAGUAAAAUAAGCCCACAGAGGAGGCAGUCACGUACCCAUUAAGUUCAUACACCUCUUCGGCCAAGUGAGAAACUUAAAUUCGCGCCCGACAGAAUAGAGACGGAGCGUCUGUGCAACUCGGAAACCCCGCGCACCCCAGAAGCUCGCCAGCCGCAGCCAAUGUUCGCGCAGCGCGGGCUUUUCGAAAUUCGCCGCGAUGGGGAGAGCAAAGAGCGCGCCAACCGCGGCUCAGCGCCGGAGCGGCGAGCGCUGCUCAGACUCUCACAAGCCCUCCGGAUUCGCUCCGGUUCCGUACGGCCGCCGCAAGGCUCCUCACAGCGCACCGGCUCGGACACGGUGCAUUGUGCUGCCGCGGGGACAGCUGCCCGGGACACGGGGAAAACGGAGGGAGGGCGGUCUGCACCGCGGUCUGACGGGCUGAAAAAGCGAACCUCCAUUCGCACACACAAAGAACCCGUGAACCACUGACGGGCCAGUCUGUGAUAACAUUGUUGCACACACUGGAUACAAGGCCAUCAUUAGCUGCUCAUACUGGCGGAGCAGAUACAUUCGGGGCUUCAAGAAACUGAAACAGAGUAAAACGAAUGAGGUCACAGCUCAGUGUCACAGCAGCCUGGGUAAACAGAUGCACAACUGUCUUCCAGAAAUUUAAUGUCCUUUUAGCUGAAAAUGCAUAUCUCUGAGAAAUAACAGGAACUACAUCUCAACAGCAUCUCCUCGUGAAUGAGAGAUGGGAAUAUCGAAUGACCUCUGUGAAUAAUUUAAACGAGUUUUUCUUACGGUCACUCAUGAGUCAAGAAGCAAAAGCUCUACAUCAAACAGCGGAUCAGAACUAAUUUUACAUUCUUAAUUUCUAUUCUCUGGAGGUUAAAUGAGGAAAGAAAUACAGGGCUGGAUGAGGUACCCCAGAGAGUGCACUUUGGCCUGCAAGAUGAAGGAGCAAGAGCAGUUUUUGAUAAAGGUCUGAUGGCUGCAGCUGAAGAUUGCUCUGUCACACAAGAGUAGAAAUGAAAAGAAGGAACAACAUACGCUCAACCCACAGUAUAUAUCUAAGAAUAGAUGUAAGUUAGAAAUAAUUGUUUUCCAGUUCUCAGUUUUGGAGUGAGAAAGAGCACUUUUCUAAAUAUCAGAUUAGAACUCCAUCCAGAAGUGUAAGGUUAGGGUAUUUCCCUUUGGAAACUCCAGUUAUGAUGCAAGCAGACAAGUUAUAAUACUGAAGGAAGCCAAAGACACUUAGGAAACUCCUAAUGUGCUUUGGAACGCCUCUUCUUUUCCUAGAAAUGGCAAAAAUAGAAUAAGGAGUUCCCCAGCACAAAUGAUACCAGUAAACCCAAUACCUAUUACGGUAUAAUCGACCAAACUUUUACUUGCCUACUUCAGCCCACACUGUUAAUAUGCUUAUGCACUACGCACUAAAAGCAUGUCCUUCUGGCUCAAAGCUCAUUGCUUUAGUUUUAACAUUUCAUAACUUAACUAAUUAACUGUAAUGUAUAAAGUGAUGACUUUUCUAUUACAUUAACAUAAAAUGUCAAUUUGUGCUUUUUCUAAAAUGUAAAGACAUGAAUUCCUCCUUCAGUACUUGAAGCUUCUCAUGUUCUUCAUCACUACGAUUGAUGACCAUUAAAUGAUCAUUUGUAUAAAAGAAAACUGUUUACUUAAAACCUAGUGAUGACAACUAUAGUAUCUGAAUAAGGCAUAGCAAUCAGGAGAGCUUCCAUCCUGACUUAGUAGCUUGGAAUACACAAGUUAACUCCCAAGAUUUAGGGGAGGGUGUGUACCAGCAAUUUCAAGUAGAUACCUUGUUUUCUAAAGCUUCAUUUAGUUGAAAGAGUUCUGAGCCAUAGAAAGGUUCGAAGGAAAAGCCAGUCUUUUUGAAAUCUUUUCUGCCUUUGUUGACACUGAGGGUGACAUUCUGACAUUCAGUUUACAGCUGACAACCACAUUUCAUGUCUUGGACAUCAGACCACGCUGCUGAAGUGUACAGAGAUCAAAUUUGUGUAUGUAAGCUAUAAAUCAUUACUUCACCUCUAUCUAAAACUAUUUGUGCAUAAAUUUACUGCAGAGAAAAACAAACCACAAAUCUAUACAGUAAAUAUUGUUCUAUGUUUAUUACUUAAAAAGGAAAGAGGCUAAGAAGAAUAUUGUAUAAACAAGUGAAAUUGGAGAUAGCCUAAGAAACAGAGAAGAGAGUAAUCACUAAGAAAAUCUACAAGAAGUACAUCCAGAAUUCGUGGACACUUAAAAGCAUGCUUACUGUAUUAGAGCCUUUAAAAAUACCAACUGUUAAAAAUUACUGGUUAUGGUUUAUGCAAUUUAUAAUUUAUUAUUAGAUAUUUGGCUGCUUGAAAGGGAUUAGGGGCAAACAUAGGCCUAACUGCAUAUAAAAAAGAAAAAAAAUCGAAGUGAAGAAAGUCAUACUAUUCCUAUGGAUCAGUAAAUUAAACAUGUAUCAGGCUCUUUAUAUACUGUAUUGACAUCUUCAUUUUGUAUGUAUAGUGCCCACCACCAAAAGAGCAACACAUGAGCAGUUUUAAGACUUGGUGCUAUUCAAAAAGGAAAAAUAAUUAAAGAAGCUUCCCUAUGGUUUGGCACCAGUUUCAGGAAAAAAAUCCUCACCUUGGAACUACAUGGUAAUUUAACACAAGUACACACAUGAACACUGAAAAUAUUGGCAUUCAUGGAAAGCCAUCAAGAAAAUAACGAAAAGUAAUAGAAAAAUAAAGUGAAAUAGAUUCUUCACGUAGUGUACUUUACAAAGA